CCUCCAUCUUUGCAUAUACGUAUGUUUGUUUCAUAAUACUGUAUGUUAUUGUGAACUUGGCAGGUGUGGACUGGGCACGGACAUGCCUGGGACAGCGAGAACCGUGACAUGAUGUGGCCCUGCAAGACCUGACAGUUGAUGGAGGAAAGAUGCAGCCUGACCGCAUUCCCAUUGUGCUAAACAGCAACUUCCGCUGUGGAGGAGGAGUGUGGGGGUGCAAGGUCUAGGCCGAGGACUUCCCCCUGGGGCACUCCAGGUGUGCAUGUGAGAGACAGGCCUUGGUGGGGC
rnacentral:lncRNA from 1 species